GCCAUGGCGUCAGGUCAGCUAAGAGGACGGCUUCCCCACCUCGUUUCCUCUUCGGCGAUGUGGUCGCUUUAUCGACCUCUGUUUUAGACGACGCGGUCCGCACUGCAGUCCUGUGGGCGCAGCCAAUCGUAGCGAAGAACAGUGCGGUGUGCGGAUGACGUCAGCCCAGAGUCUUUCGCAAAGUUCAUCUUCUGUUUCAGGGCUCUGUCAUCCUUGUCGUCAUCCACAUUCUUUUUGAACUGGGCCUCAAUUUCGGCGGGAUCCAUGUAGGUGUAGAAGUACGCCAUGAUGGAGAAGAAGAAA